UACGUAGGCAGCAAGCGUUGUUCGGAAUUACUGGGCGUAAAGAGUGUGUAGGCGGUGCUCUAAGUCUGUUGUGAAAUCUCCCGGCUUAACUGGGAGGGUGCGGCGGAGACUGGAGUGCUAGAGUGUGGGAGAGGUAAGCGGAAUUCCUGGUGUAGCGGUGAAAUGCGUAGAUAUCAGGAGGAACACCUGUGGUGUAGACAGCUUACUGGACCACGACUGAUGCUGAGACACGAAAGCGUGGGUAGCAAACAGG
rnacentral:rRNA from 1 species